rnacentral:rRNA from 1 species
UGUGAACGUUACCAAACUGUUGCCUCGGCGGGAUCUCUGCCCCGGGUGCGUCGCAGCCCCGGACCAAGGCGCCCGCCGGAGGACCAACCAAAACUCUUAUUGUAUACCCCCUCGCGGGUUUUUUACUAUCUGAGCCAUCUCGGCGCCCCUCGUGGGCGUUUCGAAAAUGAAUCAAAACUUUCAACAACGGAUCUCUUGGUUCUGGCAUCGAUGAAGAACGCAGCGAAAUGCGAUAAGUAAUGUGAAUUGCAGAAUUCAGUGAAUCAUCGAAUCUUUGAACGCACAUUGCGCCCGCCAGUAUUCUGGCGGGCAUGCCUGUCCGAGCGUCAUUUCAACCCUCGAACCCCUCCGGGGGGUCGGCGUUGGGGAUCGGCCCUUUACGGGGCCGGCCCCGAAAUACAGUGGCGGUCUCGCCGCAGCCUCUCCUGCGCAGUAGUUUGCACACUCGCAUCGGGAGCGCGGCGCGUCCACAGCCGUUAAACACCCCAAACUUCUGAAAUGUUGACCUCGGAUCAGGUAGGAAUACCCGCUGAACUUAAGCAUAUCAAA